rnacentral:rRNA from 1 species
CGUGUAGGCGGUUUAGCAAGUCAGAUGUGAAAGCCCUGGGCUUAACCCGGGAAGUGCAUUUGAAACUGCUUCACUAGAGUAUGGGAGAGGAGAUUGGAAUUCCUGGUGUAGAGGUGAAAUUCGUAGAUAUCAGGAGGAACACCCGUGGCGAAGGCGAUUCUCUGGACCAAUACUGACGCUGAGACGCGAAAGCGUGGGGAGCAAACAGGAUUAGAUACCCUGGUAGUC